ACUUUACGAAGAAAAGCAAAUACUAAUAUGCAACAUUCGUAAAAAAAUGGAGCAAAUAACAAGUACUAAUAUUUUUAAAAACAGAUAUUUGAUCUGAUCCGUUAUAUGCUUAUAUUUAAUGAAUUAUAUAUAUAAGUUAUAUAAAUAAUAUAUUCUAUAUAGGUUUUACAAUAUUUUUAUUUACUAAAUUUAUUAAAUUAGAUAUUAGUAUUCAAAAAGCAAAUAUUUU
rnacentral:lncRNA from 1 species